AAUAUUUGACAAUGGGGGCAACCCUGAUCCAGCCAUGCCGCGUGUGUGAAGAAGGUCUUCGUAUUGUAAAGCACUUUAUGUUGGGAGUAAGGGUUUUAGGUUAAUACCCUGAAGUUUUGACGUUACCAACAGAAUAAGCACAGGCUAACUCUGUGCCAGCAGCCCCGGUAAUACAGAGGGUGCAAGCGUUAAUCGGAAUUACUGGGCGUGAGGCGCGCGUAGGUGGUUCAGUAAGAUGGGUGUGAAAUCCCCGGGCUUAACCUGGGAACUGCUUUCAUAACUGCUGAGCUAAAGUACGGUAGAGGGUAGUGGAAUUUCCUGUGUAGCGGUGAAAUGCGUAGAUAUAGGAAGGAACACCAGUGGCGAAGGCGACUACCUGGACUGAUACUGACACUGAGGUGCGAAAGCGUGGGGAGCAAACA
rnacentral:rRNA from 1 species